AUACAGAGGGUGCGAGCGUUAAUCGGAAUUACUGGGCGUAAAGCGCGCGUAGGCGGCUUAUUAAGUCAGAUGUGAAAUCCCCGGGCUCAACCUGGGAACUGCAUCUGAUACUGGUAAGCUAGAGUUUUGGAGAGGGAAGUAGAAUUUCAGGUGUAGCGGUGAAGUGCAUAGAGAUCUGAAGGAAUACCAGUGGCGAAGGCGACUUCCUGGCCUAAAACUGACGCUGAGGUGCGAAAGCGUGGGUAGCAAACGGGAUUAGAAACCCGAGUAGUCC
rnacentral:rRNA from 1 species